GUCACCUAGGGAUUUUGCUAAAAUCAAAUUUUGAUUUGGUAGAGCUGGGAAAGGGCCCGAGAAUCUGCAUUUAUAGCAAGAUCCCAGGUGAUGCUGA
rnacentral:pre_miRNA from 1 species